rnacentral:rRNA from 2 species
UUUUUGGAGAGUUUGAUCUUGGCUCAGGACGAACGCUGGCGGCGUGCCUAAUACAUGCAAGUCGAGCGCUGGAAGC